UCUGCCUCGUGACUCCCAGAGGUGAGACUCAUUUGUUCUCAGACUCACAUGCCACGUUAUGGUUUGUAUGGUCCACCACCUGUCUGAUGCUGGAACUUCUGUCUUCCAAAGGAAGUCAUUAAAGUUGUAACAUUUUUGAACUGGCCCGAGUCUCUGAAAAUCACAGACUUUCAUUUCCCAGACUGUCAAAGUGUGGUCUGAGCCUAGCAUGGAUCUCUGUCUUGGAUUCCGUCCUAGAAAGCUGGCUUAGGAAGAAGGCAAAGGACUUAAAUAGAAAAUGGUUUCAUCUUCAAAGAAGUUAUGUGGCCAUGACACCAUGGACAGCAAGACGGUGAAACUCAGAUUAGCAACUAGGGCUGGAGAGUGUCAGUGGCAAAAUCGUUUACAAUGAACAUAGUAUCUACAAAAAACAGUUUGGAAAUGACAACAAUAAAAGCUACUGGAAAA